GAUGAAGAACGCAGCGAAAUGCGAUAAGUAAUGUGAAUUGCAGAAUUCAGUGAAUCAUCGAAUCUUUGAACGCACCUUGCACCCGUUGGCAUUCUGAAGGGUAUGCUCGUUUGAGUGUCAUUGUACUCUCACACUCCCGAUCUUUGCAUUGGGAGCAGUGGACUUGGGUUUGCUGCUUCACCGUCGCUUACCUCAAAUAGGUUAGUGCAACUCUUGGUUGGACAUAGUACGGCGUGAUAAGUGUUCUUCGCCGGUGCCUCGCAAAGAGGGUGGCCGAUCGGGAUGUUGUGCUCCAAACCGUCUUCGGACAAUCUCUGACGACUUGACCUCAAAUCGAGUAAGACUACCCGCUGAACUUAAGCAUAUCAAUAAGCGGAGGA
rnacentral:misc_RNA from 1 species